rnacentral:misc_RNA from 1 species
UACGGAGGGUGCAAGCGUUAAUCGGAAUUACUGGGCGUAAAGGGCGCGUAGGCGGCAAAGCAAGUCAGGUGUGAAAUUCCGAGGCUCAACCUCGGAGCUGCACUUGAAACUGCUUUACUCGAGGAUAGGCGGGGAAAACGGAAUUCCACAAGUAGCGGUGAAAUGCGUAGAUAUGUGGAAGAACACGGGUGGCGAAGGCGGUUUUCUAGCCUACUCCUGACGCUGAGGCGCGAAAGCAAGGGUAGCAAACAGG